rnacentral:rRNA from 1 species
UACGUAGGGACCAAGCGUUGUUCGGAUUUACUGGGCGUAAAGGGCGCGUAGGCGGCAUGACAAGUCACUUGUGAAAUCUCUGGGCUUAACUCAGAACGGCCAAGUGAUACUGUCGCGCUAGAGUGCGGAAGGGGCAAUCGGAAUUCUCGGUGUAGCGGUGAAAUGCGUAGAUAUCGAGAGGAACACCUGAGGUGAAGACGGGUUGCUGGGCCGACACUGACGCUGAGGCGCGAAAGCCAGGGGAGCAAACGGGAUUAGAUACCCCCGUAGUCC